rnacentral:lncRNA from 1 species
GUUACGUAUUGUGAUCUGUGUGGUUCUUUUUUCGUAAUUUUGUCUUAUAUAUAAAUCAGGACUUGUUUUUCAAAUAUUUUACAUUUUGUCUUUUGGGGAUCUCUUGUAGCCUACUUUAGGUGUAUGUAUGUAGCCCAAUGUUAGGAGUCUACAGUUGCCUACAUCUUCGUCGUAUGAGGCUUUUUUCAAUUGAUUUUUGUAUUUUUUUCUUAUGUUGUUUCAAGUCCGGAGCAUGGGAUGUAGUGGUUGUCGUUGGUUCAUGU